rnacentral:miRNA from 1 species
UCCAGUUUUGCUAGGAAU